rnacentral:lncRNA from 1 species
AUGACAUCCCCCAAAGACACUAGACCGUCUUCUCAGAACCUAAAUCACCACAGCUGUGUAGGGUGUUGUGUUCUGGGAUCGAUCUGCAUCGGGCCACGGUUUCCAGUGGUAACAAUACAGGCUCAGUAUUUCAAUGUGACAAGCAACCUCAGCAGUAACAUAACACUUGUCGUGUGUGUGUGUGUGUGUGAUUUGGGUGUGUGUAAUGUAAGCGUGUGUCUACGUGUAUUUGUGCUUGUAUGUGCCCAGCUGUAAUGUGUGGGUGUGUGUGUGUCAAUGUCCACAGGUUUUUCAUACAUACACUGUGAAAGCCUCCUCAAUCAUUUAGUGGCUGAGGCACGUUAAUGAUGGCUGCAUCCCUAGUGGCUCCCUAUGUAAAUUGUAUUAUAAAAUAAUAUUGACCGUAGACUCUAAUCCAAAGUAGCACACUUGUAAUGGGCCAAUCUUAUGAUAACAAAAAUUAACAUGCAACGUAUUCUACUUCUCCUUUCUGUAAUGUUCAUGAUUAUAUGCAUAAAAAGCAUAGGCAAGGCUGGUUGGGCAUGUCUAUGCCGAAGGUUGUUUUCCUGUUGCAACUGGAAUUAAACCAGAUAGAGCUUCAUCAACAACCGAUUCACCUGGAAAUUCCCUUCAGUCCACUCUACAAGAAAAGGUUGACAUUUAGGAGAUAAAAAGGGAUGUAUUUCUCCCCUGAAGGUAAUAUGUUCCGUUCUUCAGGAAACGUCAUGUAGCAGUUGCCUCAACUGCUAUUAGGCUAAACAAGCAGUUCAGACUGAGGCCACUCUCUCUGAGUCUGUGUGUGUGUGUGUGUGUGUGUCUAUCUUGCUAUAAACUGGAGACUAUUACUAUGAGACGAGGAUCCGUCAGUCGUGAUGGUACAUGCUUAAUGAAGUCAUGUCUUGGUGAAUACAUAGAAGGAUUCCAGAAGGAUACUUGGUACAUAAUUAGAUUCUAACGAGAGACACUGAUUAUUAAGUAAUAUAAUGAUUAAUUAGAAUUAAGAAAAAAAGCAUUUUAUUCUGAAUCGCGUAGCUUUGCCCGUCUCUUCGACGUCCGAACAGACUGCUCUACUUGGAACGGUACCCCUGGAGUUAUCAAUGAAGUGAUGAUUAAAAGUGACGGUUGUCUGAGAUCACACAGCCACAGUCCUUCUCAGUGGACAUUUUGUUCUGUUGGGGAGCUGGUUCAGUCCACUCCAUUUACAGAAUGCAGCAAUAACCAGCCUGGUCCUUCAUCUGUAAGUGCACUUUUGGUCCAUAUUGGUAUGUGUCAACAUGGCAGAAAGCAUACAGAGAUCAAGCACCGGUCAAAAUUAGCCUAAUUCUCACCCCGAUUAGGUAGAAAUGCUUUAGUGUGUACUUGGCUGUUAACGGAGCCCUGACCUCAUACGCUCACACCCUUCAUUUAUUUAUAAUGCGGAUUACAGCAAGUAGAGAGAGGCUGUUUGCGAUACCACCUCCGUCCACAUGGAGGAGCCCUAACUCAGUGCAGGGCACUUGGCACAGCUACUGUAUGUCGCAUUGAUGCACCAUCUUCCCUAUAGACUUCAAAGCUGGGCUCCUGUCUGCAGAGCAAGCAGGUUUGGAUAAUAAAUAGAUCCAGAAGCAGUUUGCACAAAAUCAGGGAUGUUACACACUUGCAAUGACGUCGCAACCCAGGACUACACCCCUGGCACCCCCUGGUCAAGAGUCACCAUCCACCCAGGCUAAAGAAACCUCUCAUCACCAUCCACCCAGGCUAAAGAAACCUCUCAUCACCAUCCAUCCAGGCUAAAGAAACCUCUCAUCACCAUCCAUCCAGGCUAAAGAAACCUCUCAUCACCAUCCAUCCAGGCCAAAGAAAUGCCUUAUCACGGUCCAUCCAGGCUAAAGAAACCAAUCAAGCCAUUCUCAUGUCUUAAUUGUCACAGAACACCCAUUUCGGGCUUUGUUUAACCUUGAGUUCGAUGUCAACCCCCCCACUCUUUCCCUCAUCCCCGUCCACGAACUUUAAACUAAGCCCUAUUAAAACUUUGCUCUAAGCCUUAAUAAGUGUUUGGUUCCUUGGAAGAGUUUUGUAAAUGGCUAUAAUAGAACAUUUGGGACUUUGUUCAUAGGGCUUAUGAAAUGAUAGGCAGACACGUGGAGUGGUUUGGAAUACAGAGAGGUUUCAUAGGCCCAUAUGUUGCAGUAAAAGGAGAUUCAAUAAAAUAUCAUUUUUAGAAGGUCUUAGGAAAUCUCUGGAGUCAUUGACUAGAGCUUGCCAAUCAUUGGUUUAGAGACCCAGUAUGUGGAGUGUUUGUGUCAGAGAAGGUGAAAAAAGCAGACAGUCAGAAAUGGUGUGAUGGGAUUAUGAGGGAAAUCUGUGUUUGUACAUUAU